GGAAGAAGACCUCUUGCAUAUCCUUCGCGACUGUCCCCUUAGCAGGAUAGUGUGGGAGAAACUUCAGUUCACUCUCCUAAUAUUCUUAGCUGCGACGCAGCAUCUACAUAUAUGGCUUCAAACACUUUGCACCAGCAACGAAGGAGUUCUUUUUGCUUGCACAUGUUGGUUCCUGUGGAAAUCGCGAAAUGCAAAGGUUUUUGAAGACAAAGAAUGACCCUACUGCACUCAGCAUCUCUCUGCCUCAAACUCAAAGUGGAUACUGAAUUGCAAGUAUGGGUCUUGACUCUUGAAAUUGACGUCGCAUUGAACGAGCUUUGAUUAUCCUUCAAUGGAUAUGGUGCACUCAGUUUUCACUUUUGCUCAGUGCUCACUAACCAGCAUUUCAUAGUAUCUAGCUUGUGGCACUGUUUUCCUUCUAGUGGCAUGUAAAUGACCUAAUUAUCGUGAAGUGGCAAACUACAACUCAAAUAAAAUAUAUAGCUACGGAAAAUUUUCAUGUGUUAA